AACGUAGGAGACAAGCGUUAUCCGGAGUUACUGGGCGUAAAGGGCGUGUAGGUGGUUGCGUAAGUCUGGCGUGAAAUUUUUCGGCUUAACCGGGAAAGGUCGUCGGAUACUGCGUAGCUAGAGGACGGUAGAGGCGUGUGGAAUUCCGGGUGUAGUGGUGAAAUUCGUAGAUAUUCGGAAGAACACCAGUGGCGAAGGCGACUCACUGGACAUGUAUUGACGCUGAGGUACGAAAGCGUGGGGAGCAAACAGG
rnacentral:rRNA from 1 species